rnacentral:rRNA from 1 species
AUUGAACGCUGGCGGCAGGCCUAACACAUGCAAGUCGAACGAGUGGCGGACGGGUGAUUAAUGUCUGGGAAACUGCCCGAUGGAGGGGUAUAACUACUGGAAACGGUAGCUAAUACCGCAUACCAUGGGAUGUGAUCGGAUGGGAUUAGCUAGUAGGGGGGGUAACGGCUCACCUAGGCGACGAUCCCUAGCUGGUCUGAGAGGAUGACCAGCCAGCCUGGAACUGAGACACGGUCGAGACUCCUAGGGGAGGAAGCAGUGGGGAAUAUUGCGCAAUGGGGGAGAGCCUGAUGCAGCAAUGCCGCGUGUAUGCAGAAGGCGUUCGGGUUGUAAAGUACUUUCAGCGAGGAGGCGUUACUCGCAGAAGAAGCACCGGCUAACUCCGUGCCAGCAGCCGCGGUAAUUC